rnacentral:rRNA from 1 species
UACAGAGGGUGCUAGCGUUGUUCGGAAUCAUUGGGCGUAAAGGGCGCGUAGGUGGCGCGAGUAGUCAACGGUGAAAGCCCGGGGCUCAACCCCGGGUCGGCCGUCGAUACUCUCGUGCUUGAGCACUGUAGAGGCAGGUGGAAUUCCGGGUGUAGCGGUGGAAUGCGUAGAGAUCCGGAAGAACACCGGUGGCGAAGGCGGCCUGCUGGGCAGUAGCUGACACUGAGGCGCGACAGCGUGGGGGAGCAAACAGG